rnacentral:rRNA from 1 species
AGCCAGACUCCUACGGGAGGCAGCAGUGGGGGAUAUUGCACAAUGGGGGGAACCCUGAUGCAGCGACGCCGCGUGGGUGAAGGAGCGUUUCGGCGCGUAAAGCCCUAUCGGCAGGGAAGAAGAUGACGGUACCUGACCAAGAAGCCCCGGCUAACUACGUGCCAGCAGCCGCGGUAAUACGUAGGGGGCAAGCGUUAUCCGGAUUUACUGGGUGUAAAGGGAGCGCAGGCGGCACGGCAAGCCUGAUGUGAAAGCCCGCGGCCCAACCGCGGGACUGCAUUGGGAACUACCGGGCUGGAGUGCCGGAGAGGUAGGCGGAAUUCCUAGUGUAGCGGUGAAAUGCGUAGAUAUUAGGAGGAACACCAGUGGCGAAGGCGGCCUGCUGGGCUUUUACUGACGCUGAGGCUCGAAAGUGUGGGGAGCAAACAGGAUUAGAUACCCCGGUACC